GUAUUUCUGCGUUUUUGUGGUGUUCUCGGAGCGCAAAUUUUCGGUCUAUCUUUGGUAUUCAAUCACAGCUCACCCCGUUUGUCUGAUAAGUUGUUCGCUUUCAUCCUACUCGGUUUAACUGAUGAUUGAAUAGGGGCAGGUGUAACACCCCAAAAUUUGCCCUCCUCAUUCAUGCAUUCAUUUCAUAUUGCAUUUCAUCAUGUCAAUCAGAAUUAGAUCCGAAAAAAAAAAAACGAAAAAAAAAUCGAAAAAAAUU
rnacentral:lncRNA from 1 species